rnacentral:rRNA from 1 species
AUUGAACGCUGGCGGCAGGCCUAACACAUGCAAGUCGAGCGGUAACUCAGGGAGCUUGCUCACGGGUGACGAGCGGCGGACGGGUGAGUAAUGUCUGGGAAACUGCCUGAUGGAGGGGGAUAACUACUGGAAACGGUAGCUAAUACCGCAUAACGUCGCAAGACCAAAGAGGGGGACCUUCGGGCCUCUUGCCAUCAGAUGUGCCCAGAUGGGAUUAGCUAGUAGGUGGGGUAACGGCUCACCUAGGCGACGAUCCCUAGCUGGUCUGAGAGGAUGACCAGCCACACUGGAACUGAGACACGGUCCAGACUCCUACGGGAGGCAGCAGUGGGGAAUAUUGCACAAUGGGCGCAAGCCUGAUGCAGCCAUGCCGCGUGUAUGAAGAAGGCCUUCGGGUUGUAAAGUACUUUCAGCGGGGAGGAAGGUGUUGAGGUUAAUAACCUCAGCAAUUGACGUUACCCGCAGAAGAAGCACCGGCUAACUCCGUGCCAGCAGCCGCGGUAA